ACUCCUACGGGAGGCAGCAGUGGGGAAUAUUGCACAAUGGGCGCGAGCGUGAUGCAGCGACGCCGCGUGAGGGAUGGAGGCCUUCGGGUUGUAAACCUCGUGUGUGUGGGAGCAAGCCUUCGGGUGAGUGUACCUUGCGAAUAAGCG
rnacentral:rRNA from 1 species